rnacentral:rRNA from 1 species
CCUACGGGAGGCAGCAGUGGGGGAUAUUGGACAAUGGGGGGAACCCUGAUCCAGCGACGCCGCGUGAGUGAAGAAGUAUUUCGGUAUGUAAAGCUCUGUCAGCAGGGAAGAAAGAAAUGACGGUACCUGACCAAGAAGCCCCGGCUAACUACGUGCCAGCAGCCGCGGUAAUACGUAGGGGGCAAGCGUUAUCCGGAAUGACUGGGCGUAAAGGGUGCGUAGGUGGUUUGGCAAGUUUGUAGCGUAACUCCAAGGCUCAACCUUGGAACUACUACUAAAACUGUUGGACUUGAGUGCAGGAGGGGCAACCGGAAUUCCUAGUGUAGCGGUGGAAUGCGUAGAUAUUAGGAGGAACACCAGUGGCGAAGGCGGGUUGCUAGACUGUAACUGACACUGAGGCACGAAAGCGUGGGGAGCAAACAGGAUUAGAUACCCGGGUAGUC